rnacentral:rRNA from 1 species
GGUUCGAUCCCGCCCAGAUUGAACGCUGGCGGAUGCUUUACACGCAAGUCGAACGUAUGGCACGGACUUCGGUCUAGUGGGCGAGUGGCGAACGGGUGAGUAAUGUAUCGGAACGUGCCUAGUGUAGUGGGGGAUAACUGGUUCACACUGCAUAAUAGCCUUCGGGGAAAGCGGGGACCUUCGGGCCUCGCACUAUUAGAGCGGCCGAUAUCGGAUACGGUUGGCGGGGUAACGGCUCACCAAGGCGACGAUCCGUAGCUGGUUUGAGAGGACGACCAGCCACACCGGGACUGAGACACGGGCCUUGACUCCUACGGGAGGCAGCAGUGGGGAAAUUUGGACAAUGGGGGAAACCCCGAUCCAGCCAUCCUUGGCGUGUGCGAUGAAGGCCUCGGUUGCAAAGCACUCCUUUGGCAGGAAAAGAAACGGCACGGAGCACACCCGUGCAACUGACGGUACCUGCAGAAUAAGCACCGGCUAACUACGUGCCAGCAGCCGUAAGUGCGUGUAAUACGUAGGGGUGCAAGCGUUAAUCGGAAUUACUGGGCGUAAAGUGUGCGCAGGCGGUUCGGAAAGAAAGAUGUGAAAUCCCAGAGCUUAACUUUGGAACUGCAUUUUUAACUACCGAGCUAGAGUGUGUCAGAGGGAGGUGGAAUUCCGCGUGUAGCAGUGAAAUGCGUAGAUAUGCGGAGGAACACCGAUGGCGAAGGCAGCUCUCCUGGGAUAACACUGACGCUCAUGCACGAAAGCGGGGAGCAAACAGGAUUAGAUACCCUGGUAGUCCACGCCCUAAACGAUGUCAACUUAGCUGUUGGGGCCUUCGGGCUUGGUGGCGCAGCUAACGCGUGGUUGACUGCCUGGGGAGUACGGUCGCAAGAUUAAAACUCAAAGGAAUUGACGGGGACCCGCACAAGCGGUGGAUGAUGUGGAUUGUCUGAUGCAACGCGAAACCUUACCUACCCUGACAUAUCUGGAAUCCCGAAGAGAUUUGGGAGUGCUCGCAAGAGAACCGGAAAUCAUUGCAGCGGUAAUGGCUGUCGUCAGCUCGUGUCGAGAUGUUGCUAAGUCCCGCAACGAGCGGCAACCCUUGUCACAUUAGUUGCCACGAAAGUGCACUCUAUCGAGACUGUUGCGACAAACUGGAGGGAAGGUGGGGAUGACGUCAAGUCCUCAUGGCCCUUAUGGGUAGGGCUUCACACGUCAUACAAUGGUCGGGACAGAGGGUCGCCAACCCGCGAGGGGAGCCAAUCCCAGAAACCCGAUCGUAGUCCGGAUCGCAGUCUGCAACUCGACUGCGUGGAAGUCGGAAUCGCUAGUAAUCGCGGAUCAGCAUGUCGCGGUGAAUACGUUCCCGGGUCUUGUACACACCGCCCGUCACACCAUGGGAGUGGGUUUUACCAGAAGUAGUUAGCCUAACCGUAAGGAGGGCGAUUACCACGGUAGGAUUCAGACUGGGGUGAAGUCGUAACAAGGUAG